rnacentral:rRNA from 1 species
GGACGAACGCUGGCGGCGUGCCUAAUACAUGCAAGUCGAGCGGACGAAUCGAAAGCUUGCUUUUGAUUCGUUAGCGGCGGACGGGUGAGUAACACGUGGGCAACCUGCCCUGUAGACGGGGAUAACACCGAGAAAUCGGUGCUAAUACCGGAUAACACGAAAUGUCGCAUGACGUUUCGUUGAAAGACGGCGCAAGCUGCCGCUACAGGAUGGGCCCGCGGCGCAUUAGCUAGUUGGUGAGGUAACGGCUCACCAAGGCGACGAUACGUAGCCGACCUGAGAGGGUGAUCGGCCACACUGGGACUGAGACACGGCCCAGACUCCUACGGGAGGCAGCAGUAGGGAAUCUUCCGCAAUGGACGAAAGUCUGACGGAGCAACGCCGCGUGAGCGAAGAAGGCCUUCGGGUCGUAAAGCUCUGUUGUUAGGGAAGAACAAGUAACGCAGUAACUGGCGUUACCGUGACGGUACCUAACGAGAAAGCCACGGCUAACUACGUG